GUAUGUCUUCAUUUUGCACCGCCCUAAUGGAUUGUGUGGGAUGUGAAACGUGUUGCCUCUGGGAAAAGCUUCAGGUUCUUGGUCUCGGCACUGCACAAAGAUUCUCUUCUCUGUCAAUGGUCAAAACCAACCUCAUCAGAAUUCAAGCUUCUGUAUCCCUAUAAUGGUUUCUUUUUUUAUUUGGAAUAAUAAGUUCAUGUCUCUUUGUUCUCAAACUUUUGGCGGUCUUUACACCUGCAUUUGCAAAAAAAUGAGGUGAUUACCUUGAUAAACCUGCUUAAUCGAUUUUCUGAAUCUGUCAAACUCGUAAAAGAUAUGGGGCCUAAAGCUGAUAAUAUAAAUGGAGGGAUGGUCUUUGAGCCAACUGCAGAAGUAAUUAGUACUUGGCAAAGAAUCUGGGAGUCAGUGAUUGAGAUUCAGUAUUACCUACUUACUAUCUGCGGCCUAUGUUACAUCAUUAAACUGUAUAAUUAUUUUGUUUUUGUUUUUCUUGGUCAAACAGUGAAAGUUUUGGUCUCCUAGAAUCUAAAUGGCUUCUGAAAUGAUUUUUUUUUCCAGGCUAAGGAAGCCGCCAUUGUGACACAUCUUGUGAUGUUCUAACGAAUCAAUUCUGAAGGCGAUGUUAGGACAAAGUGACCUUAGAGAGUAUAGGGUUAAGAAGAGGAAGUUGGAGGUCGUAUAGACACAAAUAUAUAUACAGGACAAAGCUGAGUAAAUAUAGAAUUUAAAAUCAAUACUUAAUGGAUCAGAUCAUUUUGAAUUUCACGUUAGCAUGUGAUAAAAGGUUUUGCUUUGUGCAUAUGAAUGAUUGUAUGAAUAAAUCAAUGGUUAGUUUAAUCUGUCCAACUAUUGAAUAAUGGAUAUGUGCUAUUGCUUCCCUAGCAUUUAGCUCUUCCUGUCUAUUAAAAACCAUUUUUGACCAUUCCAUGUUGAAAUUGUUACUAUGUGGGUUUUUUUGACGGCACGAUUUGGAGUUUUGUUCAUUUGUUAGGGUGGCAACGGUUAUCUGAGAUAAUUUUUGAUCAGUUAAGGUUUAUUGCUCCACUUUCAUGAUUUGUGCUUGGUUUUGUUAAUGAUAUGACUAUCUGUGCACUUCUUUCAGGAAUAAUAAUGUCCAUGGCAUGUUUGGGAGAGGAUCUUCUAGAUUUUGUUGAGAACAUGAACCCUUAAAAAAUCAUAUUUAUAAGUACACAAUUGAAAGACAUUUGCAACAAGAAAAAUUUCACGUCUUUUUCAAGAUAAAGGUGUUCUUAGUCUUACUGAUCGAUAACCGAUACCGUGAUUUCUGGAAUUGAGGGCUCACCAGUACCUAGCUUGCCGGUGAUUUUGUUCUCUUGUCCAGAGCUCACCGGCGUUUGGCUUAUGGGACAGUCCAUGGGAUCUAUUUUCUUUGCUUGUGGUUGCUUCUUGUCUUGAUUUCCAUCAAGUUUGUUGUGAUUGAAGAGCUCUUGAAGCCGUUCUCUGGUAACAUUGGUUUGGACUCCAAGGUUGCAGCAGCCAAGGCGACAACAGAGGAAACAUAUGACAUCGUCAAAAGAGUGAAUAUUGCGAUUGUGAAGAGAGUUUCGGGCUAAAUCUAGGUUUGCGUCUGUGACAUUCUAGAUCACAUAGAUUGGGAAACUACAGUUAUUCAUCAUUUGAGCUGAUGAUAAUGGUGAAGGGGGGAACCUUUUCUUUGUAUUCUUUGCUAUGCCGCCAUGCCCGGGUUAGUACUUUACCGAAUUGCCAGCUAGCUGAUGAGCAGCUACCAGAGUACAAGAAAAUGGAGAUAAAAGCCCCGUUCGAGCCUAAAAUCAAAAUUAGAGGAACAUAGAGUGUUGCAAAGGGUAUUGCUUGUUUUGGCUUUGAUAGGAACUUGUAUGGUCUUUGGAGAUGGAGUAUUUACACCUGCAAUAUCUGUGUUUCCUAAUUCCCGGCAAUGUCACCUAUUUCCUAGCUUUUUGCCAUGUCAAAAGAGCAGUACCAAUGUAAGACUCUUAGCUAUUUGUCAAAUCAUUCACCGUCUGGUUUAACCGUAUGAGAUUCAGACAUAAUGUUUGAAAGAUGGUUGUUUUCAUUUGCACAACAGGUUCAAUCAUACUGUGCUUUCUAGGGUAGGUGAAUAUUAUUCACUUGUGUAGGUCAGCUUGCUCAGGUGUGUUUUUAUGUCUGCAAUUUUAUGUUGUGUUCAUAUAUCCAUCAAUGAUGUCCGAUUAAACGAAGUUUUGGCAUGGAUAACCUUCUCGAGUAGGGUCACAAGAUGAAUGAUUCAGAUUGUUACUGUGGGUCUUUGGUGGGCCCACAACGAACUUAAUCUAGACUGAUCAAAACUUUAUGGGAGUCGAGUCCUUUAUCAAGCUUCAUUGUAAUGUCUAUUGUUCUUGAAAGUAAUCUAGCCGCUUAUUAUCCAAGAGAAUAUAAAUCGCAAAGGUUUUUCCGAUCGCUCAUGGAUAUUCUAGAUGAGGGGAUUGAAAUUGUCUUACCAACCCUGCCAAAUUUAGGUGUGGAAUACUCUUCUCUACGUAUCAGUAAUUGAUUUUUUCAAAAUCUCAAUAACUUCACCUUCAAGGAUUGAAAUCUGGGUAUAUGGGCUAAAGCUGGGCAUAGGUAAUGUUGGAAAAUUGAAUGCCUGGAUAUUUUAUGGUCGGUUUAUCUUGGUUGCUUGAAAUGUCUUCAGAUGACUUCUUUGGCAUUUGCUAUAAAGAUCGCGUGCUGUGAUUUAGGUCACGUAAUCCUUCGAAUACGACUCUUUGGCCAUAUCUCUCUCUCUCUCUCUCUCUCUCUCUCUCGAUCGAAUUUUAAUAGUUUAGGAUGUUCUCGAAAGGCGCUUUCACACUUUUGCUCACGAUCACUCACACGUCCAAUAUGUGACUUAGGGGGUGAUGCAAAUCAUAGAUGGGUAUCAAAAUCUUGAGUUAACUAUUAUGUAUUCUGGAGUUGGACUUGUUUGAGCCAAUAAGGAAAAAAAGUUGGACUUGUUUGAUCUUUACGAUGUUUUUUAUGUGGAUGUGCAUUUGGUGGACAAAGAGAUAGUACCAAAUUGUCAGAAAUAUGCUUUAUUGUUGGUCCUUGUAGAUAUAACCAAGGCAAAAUUCUUAACUUUAAUCACAGUUAAAUCACUCUCCAGCAAAAUAAUUAACGCUCACUUGGUGGCGCUAAAUCAACAAUGGUUUUAGAAAAGAACGCUUUUUGGGUAUGUACAUAUUUAGAAAAGGUUUUUCUAUCUUACACUACAUGUUCUUAGUGGAAAACUUUGGUUUAUGGAAAGAAUGCUUAAAUAGAAAAGACAGUGAGCGUUCUUUGGCUAUAUCACAAGACCAUUCCUGACCAUUGCAUGUUUCCUUGGCAAUAAAGAUGGCUCCACUGAAGCCUGCUAUGGUCUUUUGGUUUUCCAUGGACUAAGAACUAGUCUAUGGUCUGGCAGUUGACAAUUAGCAGCGCUAUAGAAUUACAUAAUCAUCAUGUUAAUUUGGAAGAUCAAAUUUUUUUUUUUUUGGGGUCAGUUAGAGACUUUGUUUUGGAUCUUCAGAUUCUUACACUUCAUUUUACUGCUUUGAGGCAACGUCUUGAUCACAUUUCAUAUUUAUUGGCUGGAAAGACAAACUAAGUUAUUUGAAUAAAUUGAGCUUAGGACCUUGGGUAUACUAGAUCCUCGGUUUGUUUACUUUCUAAUCUGCAGUUGACCAGGCAAU